rnacentral:rRNA from 1 species
UGGGGAAUAUUGGACAAUGGGCGAAAGCCUGAUCCAGCAAUGCCGCGUGGGUGAAGAAGGUCUUCGGAUUGUAAAGCCCUUUCGACGGGGACGAUGAUGACGGUACCCGUAGAAGAAGCCCCGGCUAACUUCGUGCCAGCAGCCGCGGUAAUACGAAGGGGGCUAGCGUUGCUCGGAUUGACUGGGCGUAAAGGGCGCGUAGGCGGUUUGUACAGUCAGACGUGAAAUUCCUGGGCUCAACCUGGGGGCUGCGUUUGAUACGUGCAGGCUUGAGUUCGGAAGAGGGUCGUGGAAUUCCCAGUGUAGAGGUGAAAUUCGUAGAUAUUGGGAAGAACACCGGUGGCGAAGGCGGCGACCUGGUCCGAUACUGACGCUGAGGCGCGAAAGCGUGGGGAGCAAACAGGAUUAGAUACCCCCGUAGUCC